UGAAAAUAUAUAUUUUAUUUGAUAAAGAUUAGGAGGGAAUUCUAGAAUUUUUUCUAAUUUUUAUAAAAAAUUGGGAAAGAAGUUAUAUACUUAAGGCGUCUAUAUAAGUACUUCAUACAAUGUGCUUAUACCACGGGACGUCUUUAUUUUUGUCCCACAUUUUUUAUUUCUCCCUGAAGAUAAAAAAUCUGUGGCUCUGCCCACGGCAAGCCCUCAAGUUGAAGUCGAAGAUCCUCUUUCUCAAGCCCUUGCGCUCCGAAAGUCCGUAUCUUUAGACUCAUGCGCUUUAGUAGCCCUUCCUACGAGUUUCCCAUGGAGGCUCUACGGAAAGAACUUUUCAGCCUGGAAGGGAAGGUUUCCUGUGCUAGUCACUGUAAAUGUAUGUGAUUAGAAUGAACCCUAUAUGGCUCACACUGCGGUGCUUGCAAAACACUACGCCCGCGCUGCCAGUCCCCUUAUCCUCUCCUUCGGCGAUCAGACAAUUAAUUACGUACUCACCACGGAGACCCCACGCUAAGUAUGGAAAUCGCUUCUUUUACAGCCCGAGAGGAAAUCGACCCAACGCCGAUUCUACCUCAAACACUAAUUGUACCGCUUAAGCCAGUCAGACUACUCAAGUGUACAGAAAUACGCAAAGGAAGUGAGGAUGACUGCGUCACAGUAACCUACAUUUCUAAGAGGUACUUAAUUAGUGACGAUGGCAUGUUGGUCGCUUUCCAUAAGCGGUCUACCAGACGAACGCCCCAGCCUCAUUCAUAUCAUCUAAUCCCAAACUGAGCCUUCUUUUUUAGCUCGCUAUUACGGCGAUUUUCGAUAGGACCUUAAAAUGGCCAACUAGAGUGACAAUGCGAAUACUGUGCCUACCGCUUGGAGGGGACACGGGAAGAGAGAGAGGAGAAGAGGAAGAAACAAUGGCAUUUGUUGGGGCUGCAACAAAAGUUUCUCGAAGUGUUGUACCAAGUGGCCGAAGUGUUCAUGAUCAGGAUAAGCCUCAGCAAACUGCCGUCUGUGUAAUUCUUGCGAGACAUACUUUCUCAUGCAAGAAUGACUUGAGACCAUAGUUAUGCACAAACCAAGGCCCCCUUGGAUCUCUGGUACCGUCGCCUUGGACAUAAUCAGAAACGUUUGCUGAUGGGCAUGUUAAAGAAUAAUACCGCCGAUAAUUCAACUAAAGGAUACCAUUGAACUUUGCGCACGAAAACUCCUUGAAAGCUACACGGGUUUAUGAAAUAGUGUACUUCGAUAUUUUGCGACUAAUGACUCCUGUAGCGUACUCUGUUAUAGAUUUGUCUUGUCUUUUGUCUGUGCUUUUACAGAGAGGUUAAUUUGGUACCUGUUGACACAAAGAGUGAUGUUUCCAAGGUUAUACUUGAUCCCGUCCGACGGUAAAUUUUUAUUUCGAGGACUCGUCGACGAUUAACCUUUAAAGGAUCAUUGUUCCCAAAGCAUAAUGGAAUUGUUAAAAGGAACAAUCAGAAGUAUUUAAGACAGUGAGAGCUAUGUUAUAUGAUUCUAAUUUAAAAAAGUACCUUUACGGAGGAUCUCUAUUUUAAAGUGCACAAAUCAAGAAUUGUGGCAUGAAAAGUUUUUGUCUUUUUGGAACGAGAGCUUAUACUCUGAACUAUCCUCUGGGUGGAUAGCUUGGGGAUCGAAGCACUAAAAGAUUUCCAUCACUCUGUACCCGAAGAAAUACAAAUUUAAAAUGUAGGGCCUCAAAGCUUUUAAAAUACUAAGCAUUAUAGAUGUAACCUUUGAUGAGCCUUUGUAUCCCAAAAUACAAUGCGUCCACCCGCAAACUCGGAUGCUACACCUACUGGGUUAGUAACACUUGACACGGCAAAAGAAAAAUAAGAAAAAUUGAUAAAUAAAAAAAUUCUAACUUUUCAAUAAUAUUAAUGAAUGGAAAAUUUGAAUGAAAAAAAAAAAAAACACCUUUUUUUAAGGUGUACGGAUCCAUCAUUUCAAAAAAAGUCAUGCACU